rnacentral:lncRNA from 1 species
UCCCAAAUUAUUCAAAAAGGGCCAAGCAAACUCUAACUAUGAGAAAAAGAUUGAGGUUUAUAGAAUGGAUAACAUUUUUGAGUGCUGGAUAAAAUUUAUCAUAUAUCUUUGUGGUGAUAUCUGCUGAUUAUAGGUGUUGACUUUGCAUUAAUAUGAAGAUGGAAUUUUGAAUGCAAUGUUGAGGAGUGUUUUCACAAUUGAGAUACAAUUCACUUUGAUACUGGCCAUGGAAUUUGAAGCAUAUCUGAGCCCAGUAGAUAUAUUUAGAGUCAAUCAUACCUUUAACUUUAAACAUGACAUUUUGAUUCACUACUGGUCCGGAAUUUUAAUUCCUAUAAGUAUUGCUUAGGCAAUGAUUCAAGUAGGGGGGAUAUUAAUGCAUCAUUUUUAUAUGUUAAUUAAAUUAAAAUGAUAAUAAAUGUCACAUUAACCAAUAUGAAAGAUAAUAAAUCGAAUUAAAAGUUUUAAAUUGAUUAUAGAAUCCAGUUCAUUGAUUUCUACCUAAUCUGCAUUUUUUUUUGAGAAAUUUCUACUUGAUUUUAUAGUGUGUUGUAACAAGAUUACCUAUAGUGAGUAGCCUUGAAUUUAUUUUUCUUAUGAGUGAGGUAUUUGUUAUUAACAGUGAGAAUUCAAUAUAUAAACAUGAGGACAUCAUUUACUACAAUUUUUUUGAAGUUUAAAUUUGAACCGAUGGUACCAUUUCCUUCUAGCGACAUGCAAGGUUUCUAGAGAUGUAGAUCUUUAUUUCUUUUGUAGUUUUUCACUUGAGAAUAAUUAGAAUUUUAAUCAAUCGUUUUUACUAUUGUUUCACAACAGGCAGGACAUUUUUUUUUGGCUUUCGUUGGAUGUUUGUUCACACUGAGUCAUAAAUGGUUUGAACUGGAAAUAAAGUCUGUUGGUGCUAGAAUAAAGUGAGCUUUAAUUGUUUUUUUUCCUCUUUUCUUCCCACACCUGCAAAAUGUUUGUUAGUUUUUCUUGUGAUGGCCUAAUCAUGUUUCUCUUUGUGUCACCAUUUUCUUACUCAAGCUCAUGUAGAAUGAAUGUCAUGGUUAUUUCGGAGAGUGUGGGUUUUACUCCCUAAAUGCCGUUAAUUUUGGCAAGUUUUAUGUGCAUAAUUUGACCUUUGAUUUGCUACUGUUAUUUUAUUUUUUUUCGUUCAGAGUUGUGGUUUUCUUCAUGUGGCACCCAAUGUUAAAAAGUUGUGGAUUUACUUUUUAUGAAGGAUUAUCUUUUUCAUUACUUUUGACAAAUAUAUUAUUUUUUCUAGUGGAAGAUUUUGGGAUAUUUGGGUGUUUUCUUUGAGAUUGGUAAUUCUUCUUCCCAUCCUCCUCACUUUCAGGGUCUGUCCCCUGGUCUUAGAAUUUCCUCUAUGAUGCAUGAAAGAUCAAACCUGUCCCUCUUGCACUUGAUUAUGAAGAAUUCUUUUCCUAAGCUUGUCUAUUGCUGACCACAAAAGAAAGAAAGAAAAGGAAAAACAGCAAACAAGUCUUCAUCAAUUGUCCACUUUCUUUUCCUAAGCCUUUCUCUUGCUGCUAAGAAUCUACCUUUCCACUUUAUAUCUUUUGUUUUCUGUCUCAAAUCAGUGCUAUCUCUUUCCAGCGAGUUUUUUUUCUCUCCCCUCCUCUUUCCUUCUCUUGUUUUAACUUUCAAUUUCCUUCUCGUUUAUAGUUUUAGUUUUUGUUGAGUAAUGGGUUUUUUGCUACGAUUUGGCAGUGUCUAGGUUCAAUGGUUUGUGAUCCAGGAUUUUGGGUAUAUAAUUUGGAUUAGCAUAUUUUUUUUUCUAGGGUCUAUGGUUGGUCUCAAGACUUAGAGUUUGGGGUUGAAAUUUUGGGUUUGUGUUUCAGGGUCCUUGCCAUAGAGUUAUCAGAUAUUAGCUUUGUAUUUCUUUUUGUCUAGAGUGGAUUUUUUUAACAUUUCAUGAAAAUAUCUAGGGGAAUAUUAUGUAAGUAUGGGUUUGUCUAGGCUUUAAGAUGCAUGAGACGACCUCACUAUUCUAUAUGGGCCAUAUCCUGAGGAUUGUUUUGUAUCAGGUCUUAGUCCUUCCUACCCAGCCACAUAAUGGUUGUUGGGCUGUGUAACUGUAAAAAUUAGAUGCGAUAUUUUUUAUGGGAUUGAUGUGGUGCAUGUGUUAUUUACUUGGCUAGAUCUGAUCUUGCCCUUGGUUUUUUUUUUAGUUGAUAACAUCCUUAAGGUUUGUAAGGCUUGACUUUUGAAGUUGACUUUACAGGCUUGUUGAGCUCAAAUAAAAAAUGUGACAUGCUGCCAUUUGAUAAAUGAGCCUUAUCUAUUUUUAGUCAUCUAUUUUCUGUGACAUUUGAUAAAUAAUAGGACAUGCUUUGUAAGUAUCUUUUCUCUUGUUAGACUAUCUACUGGGGCAUAUACUGUGGAGGAAUUCCUCAAUGUUUUUGUUGGGAACGGUUUUUUUUACAAGAUUUGCGUAAUUAUUGCCUAAGCUACAAUUGCAGUGAAAGGGUCAAAGGCAGUGCCAGAUCGUGGGGAAUUUAAUAAGUUACCGAGAAAUCUAGUACAUUAGAGGUUUUCAUUCAAUCUAUAUUUAUCAGGAACCGGAAAAAACAUCAAAAUUUUAGCCCCAUUGUCUAAUUUCCUUUUUCACAUUUUUUGAGAUUACAUAUUGCAAAGUCUUGUUCCCAUUCUGCCUUCUUCGUGCCAAUUAUUAUUCGAAAUACCUCCAAUCGACUGUUCUUUCUUCCGUUUUUCCAAGGAUCCCACAAUUUUGAUUCUUCGAUUUUCGCCCUUGCCGUUAAAAACUUUUGUUUCCAAUUUUUUCUUGCAAAGCCUAUGUGAAUCUUCUAUCCAAAGUGUAUCUGGUCAUGCUGGUUCUAAUUUUUGAUCUUUCUUACUAUGUUUCAUUGUGUCUAAUCAAAUUAAAGUCCACUUUUACUAAAGUAGAAUAUGAAAUCAUUAUCUACAGUUCAAAUUAUGCAUGUCUGUGCAUGUUAGAUCUUGGAUGUGCCAUGUUACACAGGAAUCUGAUCAAAUGGCCAAUUCAGCUUUCCCAACAGAAAUAUAUAUUUUGAAUCACAACUAUGACUUUGUGAAUCUUGUAAUACCAUUGUCGAUGUUAGAUCUUGCCAUAGGAUCUAACAUAUAGAUUUCAUCGGAUGAGCAAUUCAGCUUUGCCAGGGGCUGUGACAAUUUUUGGGGUUGUGAGACUACAUUUCUUUUUUGCUAGUACCGCACUUUGUUUUGGUUUUUUUUUUCAAAUCAUUAUGUGGAUGGUACAAGGAACUCUUUGAAAGGCAUAGUGAAAAGUUGGCCUUAGUGAGAUCAGCCAAUUCUAGAUGAUUUUGUCUUUCUUUCCUUUUUUGUACCCAUCUUUCAUGAGGAGCUAGUCUUUUGCCUUUUCCUUUUGUUAAUAAUUUCGUCUUUUAUGUUGUCUUUCAUAAAAUUAUAUCUUUUCAGAAAACGAAUUUUGUGAUUUGGUUGAUUUUCUUCCCAUCCUCCUCACUUGUUCUUCCAAUUACAUGCAUAAAAGCUGAUCUAACUUGUCUCUCUAAAAGAACUCAUCAUCACUGGUGGUACUUGGGAAUGAGUAUUCUAUCAUCAUUUAUGUGUGUUUUGGUCGCAGAGCUGAGAUUGAGCACUAUGAUUAUGAGUAGAUAUGGUGGUCCUCUUAUACAAGAAAACUGAAUUUUGAUUUCUUCCUUCUACAGCUGUAAUAGGGAUAGUGAUGAUGAAGAGACAGAUUACAAAUGGCAACCUUGGCUGGAUAAUUUCAGCCAGGCCUUCCAUUCUGGUAACAAUGACAAACAUGUAGCUGUCACUUUGAGAAUUGGGAAGAGUAAUGCAUAUGUUUAGGAUUGUGUUUAUCAUUUUUGAAUUUUUGAAUUUUCACUUUAAACUUUAAGGUUCAAGAAAUUUUCUAUAGGUCUUUAGAGAUAAUAUUUUUGAGUCUAGCACUUAAUUUUUGAAAUUUAAAGUACAGUUUUGUAGUUGAACGUAUUCUGGUGUAUUUUCUAGGUUCUUCAUUUGGGUUUAUGCCUUAAAGUAUGCUGCUUAAAUUUUUGUGCAUAGGGUUUAUAAUUUAGUGCUUAGGGUUUAUAGUGUAGUGAUCAGCAUGAAAAUUAUAAGGAUCAGAGUCUAUAUUUAACUUUUAGUGGUUAGGGUUUAUAGUGUAGUGACCAGCGUGAAAAUUAUAGGAUCAGUCUUUAACUUUUAGUGGUUAGGGUUUAUAGUGUAGUGCCUGGGGUUUAUUCAGGAUUUCUCAUUUAGAAUAUAGAAAGGAGUUAGCCAAACCUACCUUGUGAAAGCAAAUCUAUCUUUAAAGCAUCUCAAAGUCUUUUCCGUCAUUUAUUUUUGUCACCAAUGAUUAUGCAAUCCUUCUUUUAUCAAUAUGAAAAAAAAAUCCGCCAUCAUUUUAAGAAGUAUCUAUAGAAAUAGUUAAAUGUGAUAUAUAUGAACUCUCCAAACAUACUCAUAUAUCUUUUCAAAUAAAAAGUCAACAAAGUGAAGUAUCAUUCUUCUAUAUCCUUAGUGACAUUUGAGGAUCAUAUUUCAAUAUCAAUCUCUUUGAAAAUAAAUAGUUUUUAAUUUUAUUGAUUAUUGUACUUCGUAAAUGUUGAUAUUUAUCUUUAAGUAAAAAUUAGAUGUUUUAUUGACACUAAAAUAUUUAUGUCCAAUGAUUAGUUAAUACAUGAGACUUCUUAUGUCUACUAACCUCAACAAAAUAAAUUAGCAUAGCGGAAAAAUCUGCAUCUCUUAAAGGUUACAAGAUUCCUCUUGUUGCACACACACCAAAAAAAAAUUGAGAUGGAGUCAUCCUAACUAUGAUUUAUUUUAUUAAUUAUAUUUCCACCAUAAUACUGUAUUUUCAUAAUCUUUUUGGAUGUAGUAACUUCAUUUAUCCUUACUAAUCAUCUUCUCACUUCAUUUGAGCCUUAAAUACUGAGGUGUAUUUUUUUGUUCAUAACUGUGAUAAAACCUAAGGCAAACUAGAACCAUAGAUCCUCAAAUAUAUUUUUCUUGAAUAUUUUAUCACUCAAAAAGGUAUUUGUUGCUUUCAACCACUUGCUUAUAAAAUUUUUACAAUCAUUGAUGCUACAUUUCAUGAAUCAAAAUCCUAUUUUCAGAAAUCUUUUUCAAAUAUGUCUCUAUCAUACCCUACUACAACUAGUUCAACUUUUCUUACUAGUUCAACCACUAGUAUCGACUCCAAUGCCUAAUCUACUUCUUUAAAAACUCAAAUUUGGCCAAGUCUAUUCCAAGACACAAGCACCUCUUGUUUCUACAUCACUCCAAGAUCACGAGUCUACCAUAGUUGAUAUCCAAGAUACUUCAUAUGUUUCUACAUUCAAUUCAAUGGUACCAUCCAUAGCCUAAUUUGAGUUUUUACACUCAAAAAGCCUUCACAAGACUAUAAAACAAUGCUUGUAUCUUUUAGCCCAUUUUUUUUUCUUAUCAGAAAAUUUCUCCUAUAGGCCAUUCCUUGCUAUCCCAGAUAUUGGCAUUCUAGUUAUUGUAACUAAAGUUCUAUCUAGGAAAGAGUGUAAACAUAUCACGAAUGAAGAAAUAAAUGUUCUAGAGAAAAGUCUAACAUGAUACCUCAUGGCUUUACCCAAAGAUAAAAAGGCAGCUGAUUAUAAGUGUCUAUUAUAUAAAAUAUAUGAAUGAUUGAUGAAUUGAAUAGUAUAUGAGCAAACUAGUAGAUGAAGGCUAUGAUUAAUCUAUAUAGUUGAUUGUCAAGAAACUUUGCAUCUUAUGGAAAAAAUGAACACAAUCAUAAUCCUCUUAUGGAUUAUGAUUGUGAAGAAUGUUUUUCUUCAAAGACAUCUUAAUGAUGAAGUGUACAUAUUUUUUUCACCUAGUUAUGAAGAAAUAUUAUUACCUAAUACUAUUUCCAAACUCAAGAAGUCCUCAUAUGGACUUAAACAAUCUUCAUAAGCCUAGUUUGAGAAAUUUACUGAAGUCAUGCGGAAAUUAAAUAAUUAUAUAAGUAAUUUUGAUCACACUCUACUUUUUAACUAUUUUUUUUAUCAAAGAGAGUUAUUAUACUAUUGAUCUAUUUCGAUGAUAUUAUCCUUACAAGGAAUUAUGAUGCUAAAUGAGAACAUCUUAGCCAAUGUCUCACCAUGGAGUCUGAUAUCAAGACUCUAGGUGGUCUUAAAUGAUGCUGCUAGGUAUUGAAGUUGCUCACUUUUGUAAAGGUAUCUUUAUAUCACAAUGGAAGUAUGUUGCAAAUUUUCUAAAGGAUAUGAGAAAGUCUACAUGUAAAUCAUGUUAGCACUUCUCUUGAUUCCAAACACAAAUUGUUUGGCCAAAGAGAAAAGGUUUAUUGACCAAAAAAUUAAUCAAGACCUUAUUGGACAACUGACACAUCUCACACAUACCCAACUUAACAUCUCACUUGUUGUUGGUCUCUUAAGUCAAUUCAAGCAUCAGCCUAAAGAACCACAUAUUUCUAUUAUAUCUCAAGUCUUACAUUUUUGAAAGGUACUCCUAUAGAAGGCAUCAUCUUCAAGUGUGUUUUGGUAACAUGAAGAUUGAUAUAUAUACAAAUUUUGACUAUGCUCUCUCUCUAAAUCAUAAAACCUCUAACCUUCUCACACUCAUAAAAGGUAAUUGAUAAUUCUAAUAAUUAUCAUAAUAAAAAUUUAAGAAGAUGUAAGAGUAAAGCUUAAUGAAUGUAUGAAUAUCAUGAAUAUGUUUUAAAAAUUCUAUACAUGCAUCUUUACAUGGUGAUAUAUUUUUCUCAUAAUUUCUUAUAACUAUAGAAAAGAAAAUAUAAAGGAAAUUAUUUAUUUAUGAAAUAUGUAGUAGUAGCUUUUGGGAAGAAUAUGAUCAUAUAGUUUUUAAUUUCAUCUUGGCUUAUUAAACAUGUAAUGAAUUGAAUUUGGUAAAACUAUAAUUUUUAUGAGAUAUACUUGUAAUACUUGUAGCCAAUGAGGAGCAAAAGAGGAAGGCGUAGGGCAACUAGUUAAAUCUUGGGAGCAGCCACCAUCCUUCCUCAUUCAUGAUUUCAUCUUUUUUCACCUCUUGACUCAUCUCUUUCACAUUGCGGGGACAAUCUACUCAUCUUUCCUCUUUCAAUGAUGUCCUCAACUACAUGGAAACGGUUAACUCGUUCCUUCUCCCUUCUCUUUGGCAGUGACAGCACCAGAGGUCAUCAUGACUCGUCCAAGUUCAAUGCACAAGGUCACCUUGGACCACCAAGCCUUGUGAUGGGAUCAAUCAAUGAUCUAAUAGACAAGUCAACAUAAGUCAACCAUCUGGCACCCCAAGAGCUCAACAGGAAAUGCAAAGAUCAUCCAUGAAGGAUUGCAAGGAUUAGGGUAGAUCCUAAUUUGGGAGUCAACUUCAUCCAAAUUUCUUAGCCUCAACCUCUUUUAGUAGAGUUCAAUUAAAAUAUUGGGUCAAUUUUUAUUGGGCCUCUCUAAACCAAUAAGAGGAUCCACCCAAAUAAGUUGGCCCAUGAAUUGGAAGAAGAGGGUAUAGAAUGGGACGAAGGAGAUGUUGACAAAGACUCACCUCUGUGUCCAAAGAGCCUUUUGACAGAUGGAUCUCUCUAAUAUGUCAUUUGGCACCCUUUAGGGUUGUCUCCCCAUAACCACUUCUUUUGUUUCUAUAAAGCACUAAAAUUAUUCUGAACAAGGUG